rnacentral:rRNA from 1 species
AGGGCACCACCAGGAGUGGAGCCUGCGGCUUAAUUUGACUCAACACGGGAAAUCUCACCAGGCCCGGACACUGGAAGGAUUGACAGAUUGAGAGCUCUUUCUCGAUUCGGUGGGUGGUGGUGCAUGGCCGUUCUUAGUUGGUGGAGUGAUUUGUCUGGUUAAUUCCGAUAACGAACGAGACUCUGUCCUGCUAAAUAGUUCCCACGUCCUUUGUUGCGCGGGAAAUUCUUCUUAGAGGGACUGGCGGCGUCUAGCCGCACGAGAUUGGGCAAUAACAGGUCUGUGAUGCCCUUAGAUGUUCUGGGCCGCACGCGCGCUACACUGAAGGGAUCAGCGUGUCUUCCCUUCCCGAGAGGGACGGGUAACCCGCUGAACCCCCUUCGUGGUAGGGAUCGGGGCUUGCAAUUAUUCCCCGUGAACCAGGAAUUCCCAGUAAGCGCAAGUCAUAAGCUUGCGUUGAUUACGUCCCUGCCCUUUGUACACACCGCCCGUCGCUACUACCGAUUGAACGUUUUAGUG